GACGAACGCUGGCGGCGUGCUUAACACAUGCAAGUCGAACGGAAAGGCCCUGCUUUUGUGGGGUGCUCGAGUGGCGAACGGGUGAGUAACACGUGAGUAACCUGCCCUUGACUUUGGGACAACUUCAGGAAACUGGGGCUAAUACCGGAUAGGAGCUCCUGCUGCAUGGUGGGGGUUGGAAAGUUUCGGCGGUUGGGGAUGGACUCGCGGCUUAUCAGCUUGUUGGUGGGGUAGUGGCUUACCAAGGCUUUGACGGGUAGCCGGCCUGAGAGGGUGACCGGCCACAUUGGGACUGAGAUACGGCCCAGACUCCUACGGGAGGCAGCAGUGGGGAAUAUUGCACAAUGGGCGGAAGCCUGACGCAGCAACGCCGCGUGCGGGAUGACGGCCUUCGGGUUGUAAACCGCUUUCGCCUGUGACGAAGCGUGAGUGACGGUAAUGGGUAAAGAAGCACCGGCUAACUACGUG
rnacentral:rRNA from 1 species